UGAGGGAUAUUGCACAAUGGGCGCAAGCCUGAUGCAGCGACGCCGCGUGGGCGAAGAAGGUUUUCGGAUCGUAAAGCCCUUUUCUUGGUGACGAGAGAGGACGGUAGCCAAGGAAGAAGUGUCGGCUAACUACGUGCCAGCAGCCGCGGUAAAACGUAGGACGCAAGCGUUAUCCGGAGUUACUGGGCGUAAAGCGCGAGCAGGUGGAUGGAUAAGUUAUUUAUGAAAGCUCCUGGCUAAACUGGGAGAGGAUGGAUAAGACUGUCGAUCUAGAGUGAAUUAGAGGGAUACGGAAUUCCGGGUGUAGUGGUGAAAUGCGUAGAGAUCCGGAGGAACACCAGAGGCGAAGGCGGUAUCCUGGGAUUCAACUGACACUGAGGCGCGAAAGCGUGGGGAGCGAACGGGAUUAGAUACCCCCGUAGUCC
rnacentral:rRNA from 1 species